CCCUUAGAUGUUCUGGGCCGCACGCGCGCUACAAUGGCAGACUCAGCGAGUUACCUCUGUCGAAAGGCACAGGGAAUCUUUACAGUAUCUGCCGUGAUGGGGAUAGACCCUUGUAAUUUUUGGUCUUCAACGAGGAAUUCCUAGUAAACGCAAGUCAUUAACUUGCAUUGAUUACGUCCCUGCCCUUUGUACACACCGCCCGUCGCACCUACCGAUUGAAUGGUCCGGUGAAAUCUUGGGAUUUUGUUUUGUUUGCAUUUAUUUGUAUCGAGACGAGAGAACUUGAGUAAACCUUACCAUUUAGAGGAAGGUGAAGUCGUAACA
rnacentral:rRNA from 1 species